ensembl:processed_transcript si:dkey-4c15.14 si:dkey-4c15.14
AUGUGUGAUCCAGAACCCUGCCGAAUUAAAGAGGAACAGACUGAAGAAAUAAUAGAUGUGAUAGUGAAGGAGGAGAGUGAAGAACUGAGUGAGGAUGAGGAGAAACAUCAGGUCAGUAGUGAAAUCAAAACUCCUAAUAGUUCUUUGAUGAAAAUAAACACCAUAAAAGGUUUCACCUGCACUCAGUGCGGAAAGAGUUUCAGCCAAAAACACUCUCUCAAUGCUCACACGAGGAUCCACACUGGAGAGAAACCGUACCAGUGUUCACUCUGCGGCAAGAGAUUCAGUCGGUCAGGACACCUGACAAGACAUGAGAGGACUCACACUGGAGAGAAACCGUGCCACUGCACUGCUUGUGGGAAGAGUUUCUCGGGUUCAUGUUCGCUACGGAAGCACAUGAAGAACAUUCACAACAAAGCCCCGAAGGUCCGAACACAGGAGAAAACAAACUCAUGCUCUUGGUGCGGAAAGAGUUUUACACACGGUUCAAGUUUAAGACGACAUGAGAGGACCCACACUGGAGAGAAACCAUACACAUGUUCUCAGUGUGGGAGGAGUUUCAUUCGCUCAUCACAUCUCAAUCGUCACAUGAGGAUCCACACUGGAGAGAGAACACACAAGUGCGAUCAGUGCACCAAAGCGUUUUUCACUGCUUCAAAUCUGAGGAUCCACCUUAGAGUUCACACCCAGGAGAAGCCCUUUUCAUGUUAUUUGUGUGGAAAGAGUUUUAACCAUCAGUCACAUUUAAAAUACCACCAGAAGAUCCACACUGGUGUGAAAGAUCAUGUGUGCCUUGAGUGUGGGAAGACCUUUUUUAGGGCUGGAGAACUGAAAGAACACCAGAGGAUUCACACCGGGGAGAAACCGUACACAUGUACUCAGUGUGGGAAGAGUUUCACACAUUUGUCAACUAUUAAAAACCACAUGAAGAACCACACUGGAGGGAAAAAACUAAAUGUGAUCAAUGAAGCCAAGCAUUUUGAGGCCUUCAAAGCUGAAGAGACAUCUUAG